UCAUACGACGACAUCCAAAGCAACGAAUUAGAAACGGUUAUCAGGCUUUCGUGGUUUGAGUUCUCAUCAAAGGUACUGACAGAUUAACAGAGGUCUUUAAGGUCCACAGCAGCA